rnacentral:rRNA from 1 species
CAAUAGCGUAUAUUAAAGUUGUUGCAGUUAAAAAGCUCGUAGUUGGACCUUGGACCUGGACAGGCGGUCCGCCUCACGGCGAGUACUGUCUUGCUGGGUCUUUCCUCUUGGUGAUCUGUUGUUUCGGCAGCAGGGAACCAGGACCUUUACUUUGAAAAAAUUAGAGUGUUCAAAGCAGGCUCGACGCCGGAAUAUAUUAGCAUGGAAUAAUAAAAUAGGACGUGCGGUUCUAUUUUGUUGGUUUUUGGAAUCGCCGUAAUGAUUAAUAGGGACAGUCGGGGGCAUUAGUACUCACAUGCUAGAGGUGAAAUUCUCAGAUUCCCGGAAGAGCAACUUAUGCGAAAGCAUUCACCAAGGAUGUCUNCUUUAA